rnacentral:rRNA from 1 species
GAUGAACGCUGGCGGCGUGCUUAACACAUGCAAGUCGAACGGAAAGGCUCCUGCUUGCAGGGGUACUCGAGUGGCGAACGGGUGAGUAACACGUGGGUGAUCUGCCCUGCACUUCGGGAUAAGCCUGGGAAACUGGGUCUAAUACCGGAUAGGACGAUGGUUUGGAUGCCAUUGUGGAAAGUUUUUCGGUGUGGGAUGAGCUCGCGGCCUAUCAGCUUGUUGGUGGGGUAAUGGCCUACCAAGGCGUCGACGGGUAGCCGGCCUGAGAGGGUGUACGGCCACAUUGGGAAUGAGAUACGGCCCAGACUCCUACGGGAGGCAGCAGUGGGGAAUAUUGCACAAUGGGCGCAAGCCUGAUGCAGCGACGCCGCGUGGGGAUGACGGCCUUCGGGUUGUAAACUCCUUUCGCUAGGGACGAAGCGCAAGUGACGGUACCUGGAGAAGAAGCACCGGCUAACUACGUG